rnacentral:snRNA from 1 species
GUGCUCGCUUCAGCAGCACAUAUACUAAAAUUGGAACGAUAUGGAGAUGAUUAGCAUGGCCCCGAAAAAAAAAUAAAGAUUGUUCCUUCUAAUUCUC